UUCCGGUUGAUCCUGCCGGACCCGACUGCUAUUUGGGUGGGACUAAUCCAUGCGAGUCGAAUGGGACGCCUAAGUGUCCCAUGGCGAACUGCUCAGUAACACAUGAUUAACUUGCCCUAUGGAGACAAAUACCCUCGGGAAACUGAGUAUAAUGUGUCAUAAUUGAAAAGGCUUGGAAAAGUUUUUCAAUUAAAGGGAUUGAUUAAAUGGUUUCAAUCUGCCAUAGGAUAGGAUCGUGGUCGAUUAUGGUAGUUGGUGAGGUAACGGCUCACCAAGCCGAUAAUCGAUAGGGGCCGUGAGAGCGGGAGCCCUGAGAUGGGUACUGAGACAACGACCCAGGCCUUACGAGGCGCAGCAGGAGCGGAACCUCCGCAAUACACGAAAGUGUGACGGGGCUACCCAAAGUGUUCAUUCGUGAACUGUGGUUGGUGAGUAAUGUCCCCAACUAGAAAGGAGAGGGCAAGGCUGGUGCCAGCCGCCGCGGUAAAACCAGCUCUUCAAGUGGUCGGGAUAGUUAUUGGGCUUAAAGUGUCCGUAGCCGGUUUAGUAAGUUCCUGGUAAAAUCGGGUAGCUUAACUAUCUAUAUGCUAGGAAUACUACUAUACUAGAGGGCGGGAGAGGUCUGAGGUACUACAGGGGUAGGGGUGAAAUCUUAUAAUCCUUGUUGGACCACCAGUGGCGAAGGCGUCAGACUGGAACGCGCCUGACGGUGAGGGACGAAAGCCAGGGGAGCGAACCGGAUUAGAUACCCGGGUAGUCCUGGCCGUAAACGAUGCAUACUAGGUGAUGGCACGGCCAUGAGCCGUGUCAGUGCCGUAGGGAAACCGUUAAGUGUGCCGCCUGGGAAGUACGGUCGCAAGGCUAAAACUUAAAGGAAUUGGCGGGGGAGCACACAAGGGGUGAAGCCUGCGGUUCAAUUGGAUUCAACGCCGGA
rnacentral:rRNA from 1 species